CGUAAGUACGCCACUUACGCAUUCCGGCGGAACAAUUAUUAAAUGAAAGCAUAUUAGCAGGAGGAAGAGCGGGGACUCGCUCGCUCACUCAGAGGAGGAGCCGGGACUCAGAGUUGCCAGAGCAGUCAGCAUUAGAGGAACACCACAGUUCUCCGCUGCCACCUGUUGAACGUAGUACAAUAAUGAAGGCACCGCCCCACAUAUGCAGGGGCGGCACCCUGUGCACAUUGCUCUUACCAGCAGUGCCAUAGUGAGACACCUGGGGCUGCGAGACAUGAUGAUGCAAAGGAGUCUGGAGACCGGGGCACAGUCAGGGCAGGCAGGUAAGUCUGUGUGCUCAGCAGCUCUGGGAAACUCACCGAGUACCCUGGUCGGGAUGAUCCACAUCGGCCACAGAGCCUCUCUGUACUGGUCCUAGUAUUCAGCGAAUGUGGGUCCCACAGCUGCAGAGCCAGCUAUUUAAUGGCAGUCAGGGGAUUGGAGGAAGGGGGGGGUAGGGGUUCAGGUAUUGUACAGUUUAGAGAAUUAAUAGUAUCCCUUGACAACGGGGAUGGAGAGAUGGAGAUACAUGGGGCGAUCCCGGCUACAGUGGCCGAGAGGAGGGCAAUCCUUUCUUCUCUGUAAAAGCAAGCCAGAUCUACUGUUAAAACAGAAAGAACCACAGGACCCCAGAGCGGUCAGCUGCUAUACGCUCUGAAGACUACACCCUGAGAUCAUUUAGCACUGACAAAUUUGUACGGGAGAUACAGGAGAAAAACAGGCGAAACAGAAACAGAAGAUCUGUGGUUAGCAUGCCCAAGUGGUGGAGACUGUAUUAUGCUGUGCGAGGAUGAAGCCAAUGGCUACUAGGGGUCAGGAGUUUUCUCAAGCUUAGGACCCGGCUGAUGCACCUCACUCUAUCACCAGCCAUAUUGCUUAUCAGGCUGGGAGAAGAGACUCCAUGGAGCGAGGUGAGCCCCUUGUAACCCCCGUUCCAUCUCUACAUGAGCUUCCCGCAGCCAUCACUAAAGCUGCCUGCAUACAAGCGGUGCACAAACAAGGGGCUCACGAUGUUCCAUUACCUGCUCCGGUAGAUUUCACAGUGCUUAAGCUACUAAUUAGAGAAGCUCCAGCAAUCCUUCAGCCCCACUUAGCUGUGAAAUGGGAUGAGAUCAAGAGAGACAUAGAAUAUAAUUUAAAACCUGAUCACAAUGCACAGAAUGCCCUUAAACGACUCCCUGCUAAGGUGGAAUUAAUACACGGCACUGUUCACUACAGUCAUGAAAUGGGCUGGGACAAUACAGUAGCAGACAAACUAAGUUCAGAGUUCCAGGCUAUGGAUUAUAAGGUGAGAACCAUGAAAGACAGAGCAGAGGCUCAACCAGAAAGAAGUGAGCUUAAAAGAAAAAGUGUAAACAGAAUCUUGAGAAUGUAGAACACCUUUGUGAAGAAGGGCAUCAGCUUAAGGCAUUCCUAGAGCUACAAUGCUCAGCCAACUGACCAGCAUUACCUUGGGGUUAAUUAAAGCAUUCCAGAAAUGUGGUUGUUGUGAAAAAAAUAAACAUAUGUGACCCCUCUAUCACCAAGAGAAAGAAAGGGGGAUAACCCCUUUAUCUUCCUAGGAGAACUGAAAGGUGUUAUAAGGAGACACAUAGCAGAUACAACCACUUUAAACCAGCUUCAGAUCCCCCAGCAAAGGCAGAGAGAACAGCCCCAAAAUAAAGAAGAAAUUUCUUACCUCGUCCCAAGGACCAGAACUCACACUCCAAAGGAAACAGUCUCCAGGUAGAGAUGCUGCCCCUAUGGCUGCCAGCCCUUAAAUGAGCUCAGGGAGGGAUGCAGCCAGGCUCUACCCUGUCCAAUCCCACGGGUGAAUGGCUUCCACCUGUGCUGGCAGGGCUGGCUACACCCCUCACAAGGUGCUCAAUCACCAGUCCAGGCUGUGACCUGACAGUUCCUAUACUGGGAUAAAGCCAAAAAAAAGAGUACAAAAAAUAUCUGGCAAGAGGGGGUUUAUCAAUGAUGAGCUACGAUGGCCCACAUACUUUGAUUCCAGUUGGUCCUCAAAGGCACUUGGUGACAUUUCUACUUGAUAGGGGAGCACAAAUUUCAAUACUAACACACCCUACUGGACUCCGAGCACCCUCCCAGUGUAUUCCAGAACACUCGACCAGAUGCCCCAAGUCCUCCAGGACUUUGCAGUGCACCGCCAAGGCAUCCCUGGGUCAUCCCAUGGACUCGAGGGCACACGAGCAGAGUGCCAGAGCCUGCCUAUGAUACCGUGAGAUGAUCGAUCAGGAAACGCUCUAAGACACAGGUGUGGGGUGCUGAGGGGCAGCACUGUGGGGUGGUGAUGUGGCUGCUUCUAUAGGAUGGCAGUAUGGGAUGACACUAUAGAGCAGCACUGUGGGGUGGUGCUAUGGGGUGACACCAUGCUGCCCAAUAGCACCUGGAGGGCCGCACUGUGGAUCCAGGGCUCUGGCACUUUGGGACCGAGGAUCUGAUGGGGGACGGACUGACGGACCUUGUGGUGGGGAUGUGCGGAUACACCACAGUGAUGAGGUGGGGCAGGGGGAUGCAAGGGGAUGUGGGGACAUGUGGGGCAGGAGGGGAUGUGGGGACAUGGGAUUUGGGGGGACUGGGGUUGGGAUGGGGACAGGAUUGGGGAUGGGAGUUGGACAUGGGAUUGGGAUUGGGAUUGGGAUUAGGGAUGGGAUGGGAAGGGGUGGGUGUAGCGCUGGACGAGCAGUGCCAGCCCAACCUGGCGGUGACAGUGACACCUCGUGCCACGCUGCCACUGGGCGGCCACGUGGCCAGCGUGACCGUGGUGCUGAUGCUGCGCAGCUGCAGCGAGGACACACACAGGGCCACCGGCACCAUCCAGCACCCCCCGGGGACAGAGUUCUGCAGGGUCAGGGCCACCUCAGUGAGGGCAACUGUCCCUGUGUCCCCAAAAUGUCCUCAAUGUCUGUCCUCAUGUCCCAGUGUCCCCAGUCCCCUCAAUGUCCCCACAAUGUCCCCAACGUCCCUCUCCAUGUCCCAAUGUCCCCAAUGUCCUCACAUCCCCCAAUGUCCCCAGUGUCCCCACAUCGUCCCCUAUGUUCCCACAUACCCCAAUGUCCCCACAAUGUACCCAAUGUCCCCACAUCCCCCAGCGUCCCCGGUGUCCCCUUGAUAUCCCCCAACAUCUCCAGUGUCCCCACAAUGUCCCCCUCCAUGUCCCCAUUGUCCCCAGACGUCCCCACAUCCCCAGUGCCCAUCAACUGCCAGGACGCAGUAGUGACAGUGCCAGUGACAGCAGGGACAGUGACAAGGACACUGCUGUGCUAUGUGGGCCACCUCGUGCUGUGCGCUGACACCACGGUGACGUCAUGGGGACGUGGUGGGACACGAGGACACAAAGAGGGCACGGAGACAUGAGGGGGAUGCAGGGACAUAGAGGGGACAUGGGGACGGGACAUGGGGAGGACACAAAGACAUGGGUGUGUCACAAGGACACAGAGGGGACAUGAAGACAUGCGAGCGACAGGGGGACAUGUACAGGACAUGGAGAGCACGUGGUGACACAGGGGACAUGGUGCUGGGCUGUCCGUGCAGGUGCUAGUGGAGGUGACAGUGGAGGUGACACAGAACCACUCAUGGGGCACUGUGCUGCAGCUGGGGGCCAGUGCCAGUAGGUGUGCACAGGAGGACAUGUGGGGAUGGGGAGGCAUACAGCAGGGGAUGGGGUGUGGGGAGGGAUGGAAGGACAAGGCAACAGCAGGGACAGUGGGGGGACGGGGGGACAGUGGGGGGUGACAGCAAGAGCGAUGUUGGGGUGAUGCUGGGGGAGUGAAACCGGGGGUGACACUGGGGGCUGAAGGUGGGGUGACACCAGGGGUGACACUGGGAUGACACUGGGGUGAUGUUGCAGAGUGACCCUGGAGAGUGAUGCUGGGGGAUGAUGUUGGGGUAUUUCUGGGGUGUGACACCAGGGAAAGACGCUGGCAGGUGACACCGAGGUGACGUUAGGGUGCUGCAGGGGAGUGACAUUGUUGGGGUGAUGCUGGGGAUGAAACUGGGGUGACACUGGGGUGACGCUGGGGAGUGAUAUUGAGAAGUGAUGUUGGAGUAUCACAGGGGGUGACAUCAGGGAGUGGGGCUGGGGACACAUUCUUGGGGUGAUGCUGGGGGGUGCAGUGGUAAUGCUAAAUCAGGACCUGAAAGAGUGAUUGAGCACCUGGUGGGAAGGCAGGCACAUACAAUGCCGCUGAGUGACAGGAAGGGGUGGAGCCAGGAUCCACCAUUUCCCAGCCCUCAUUUAAGGGUUGGCAGUGGAGGUGAGGGGAUUUUGCUGGGGACCUCUGUCACUGUGAGCACUUCCAGUGCAGAGGAUGUGUGAUAUUGUUGAGGUGAUGCUUGGGGGUUACUUUGGGGUGAUGUUGGGGAGUGAUGCUGGGGGUUGACACCUGGGUGUGAGUUUUGGGCAUGACAUUUAUGGGCAUUAUUGGGGUGAUGCUGGGGUUGACACUGGGGGUGCACACCCGGUGGAUGCACUGGGGUGACCUUGGGGUGACACUGGGUUGAUGUUGGGAUGUGACAUUGGGGGGUGACUGGAGUAUCACUGAGAUGUGACACUGGGGUGUGAUAUUGUUGUGGUAACACUGGGGGGUUACGUUUGGGUGUCGUUGUUGGGGGUGUCUUUGGGGUGACACUAGAGUGUUGUUGGAGUGACAUUGUAAGGUGAGGUGAUAAUAGGGAGUGACAUCAUGAGUUGAUGUUGGGGUAUCACCAGGUGGUGACAUCACAGAGUGACACUGUGGUGACAUUGCAGUGAUGUUGGGAAGUAAUGUUGGGGGUGAUGUUGGGGUAUCACUGGGAGGUAAUAUCAGGGAGUGAUGCUGGAGGUGACACUGGGCUGGCAUUGUUGGGCUGACACUGGGGUGAUGUUGGGAGGUGUGUCUUGGGGGUGGUGUUAGGAUGACACUUGGGGAGACACUGUGGGGUGACACUGGGGUUGUGAUGUUGGGAGAAUGCUUGGGGGUUACUUCGGGGUGAUCCUGGGGCAUGAUAUUUUUGGAGUGACACUGGGGUGUGAUGCUGGGGGGACACUGGAGUGACACUGAGGUGAUGUUGGGGUAUUGCUGGGUGGUGACAUUGUUGGGGUGACACUGGGGUAAUAUUGCAGUGACAGUGGGGUUAUGUUGGGGUAUCACUGGGGGGGAUGACAUCAGGGAGUGACGCAGGGCAGUGACAUUGCUAGGGUGACGUUGGGGUGAUGCUGGGGGACACAAGGGAGUGACACUGGGGUGACACGGUUGAUGUUGGGGGGUGUAGUUUGGGGGUGAUGUAGGGUGGUGAUGUUGCUGGGACACUGGAUGGUUACCUUAGGGUGAUGAUGGGGUGAGACUGGGGUGAUGUUGGUAUCACUGGGGGGUGACGUUAAGGAGUGACGCUGGGAGUUAACAAUAGGGUGACAUUGUUGCGACACCGCUGGUGUUCGGGAGCGAUGCUGGAGGCUGAUUUGGGGGUAUCGCUGGGCAGUUACACAGUUGGGGUGAUACUGGGGUUAUGUUGGGUAGUGACAUUGGGGGAUGAUGUUGGGGCCAGUACCCCACCCCACGAAUCUCCAAGCUGCUCAGUUUCCACUGCUGCCGUGAGCACUUUUAAAUGGCUGGGGGAUGGUGCAGGGCUGGGAGUGGAGGGGGAUACCUGUCAGUCCACUGUGGCAGUGAGCAAAUUGGAUGCCAUGAGGCCCUCAGGGGCAGCUGUGAGCCAAACCGGUCGGUUCCCUGGGCUGUGAGUGUGGACGGAGAUGAAACGGCGCGAAACGGAUGAGGGACACCGUGAGACCUGCAGCGGAGCAAGACAUGCUCGCACUGCCCUCGAGCUGCUACGGAAAAGGAAGUCGACCACCUGCGCAGAGCAGCGCCUGUAGUACCGAAUUUUCGUCAAUAGGCGGCAGCAGCGAGUGCGGCAGCGCUAGUGCGCGUGCUUCGCUCUGGGGCGGGCACCUGUCAAUCCCGUGCCGCAAUUAGCCAAUCGGAUGCCGCGGCAUGCGCAGGGGCAGGCUGGAGCCGAAACGGCCUGUGCUCGGCGCGGGUUCGGGCAUGAAAAGGCGGAAAUGGACAAGAGGGAUCAGAAUUUAGAAGGGGGGAAUAUUACUGAGCUGACGGUCCAAGAAUUGACUGCUCACCUGCACUUGAGUAGUUCGCACUAAUGGGUGCUCUUUAUAAGUUUUAAUGCGGAGGGGUGCUAUCACGUGGAGGACUAAUCACAAUAAAGAAUGGCGGACUCGCUGCGCAGAGCGGUCAGAAUUCAGAUACGCCACUUCCGCAUGUCUCCGCGCAUGCGUUAUGUUGCCUGCAGGACAAAACAUAGACCGUGGCAGUUCUGCGUAUUGGCCACGCGGUGGCAGCAGAGACUGCGGAAAGAGCUUCUGCGGGCUUGACGCGCGUCUGCAGCACAGUCACUGUGGUCUCUCUUUUGAUGACGGGGAGAACACAAAGGUAGAAGAGGAGGGGGAGAAAAGGGAAAAAAAAAAAAAAAAAAAAGACGAAGAAAACAAAGGAAACUUCUCCAAACCCAGGAAACCUGUGCUAAGUGCUUAUGAAUAUCUGUGAAAAAUGAUCAAAUUGAUGUUGUCAUGCUUUUUUUUGUCAGCAUCUGUUACAUAGAGUUUGCUGCGUGAAUGUUUAAAAACAAACUACUGUGCUAAUUUCAUGAUAACGAAAUGAAAGCACAUAAGCCCCAGCGCAAACACCAGACUCCCAGUAAUGUCUCUCUUUAUCGCCUCACCGUGGAAAUCAAACAUUCCCUGUACAAGACUCAACCUGCCAAGGAAUUAAAAUGGAAGAGACCUUGUUCAUAA